UCGGAUGUGGUGUAAGGUGCACACCCGCUCUCGCUGUCAAGGAAUCGGUUAAGUCCUUGAAGCGGGCUGCCUGGGUUCGAUUCCAGGCUUCCGAG